UACAGAGGUGGCAAGCGUUGUUCGGAAUUACUGGGCGUAAAGGGCGCGUAGGCGGUCAGGUCAGUCCCGUGUGAAAUCCCUCGGCUCAACUGAGGAACUGCACGGGAAACUGCCUGGCUUGAGUUCGGGAGAGGGAAGCGGAAUUCCGGGUGUAGCGGUGAAGUGCGUAGAUAUCCGGAGGAACACCGGUGGCGAAGGCGGCCCACUGGUCCGGUACUGACGCUGAGGUGCGAAAGCGUGGGGAGCAAACAGG
rnacentral:rRNA from 1 species